UAUCAUUAACUGAAUCCAUAGGUUAAUGAGGCGAACCGGGGGAACUGAAACAUCUAAGUACCCCGAGGAAAAGAAAUCAACCGAGAUUCCCCCAGUAGCGGCGAGCGAACGGGGAGCAGCCCAGAGCCUGAAUCAGUAUGUGUGUUAGUGGAAGCGUCUGGAAAGGCGCGCGAUACAGGGUGACAGCCCCGUACACAAAAAUGCACAUGCUGUGAGCUCGAUGAGUAGGGCGGGACACGUGGUAUCCUGUCUGAAUAUGGGGGGACCAUCCUCCAAGGCUAAAUACUCCUGACUGACCGAUAGUGAACCAGUACCGUGAGGGAAAGGCGAAAAGAACCCCGGCGAGGGGAGUGAAAAAGAACCUGAAACCGUGUACGUACAAGCAGUGGGAGCACGCUUAGGCGUGUGACUGCGUACCUUUUGUAUAAUGGGUCAGCGACUUAUAUUCUGUAGCAAGGUUAACCGAAUAGGGGAGCCGAAGGGAAACCGAGUCUUAACUGGGCGUUAAGUUGCAGGGUAUAGACCCGAAACCCGGUGAUCUAGCCAUGGGCAGGUUGAAGGUUGGGUAACACUAACUGGAGGACCGAACCGACUAAUGUUGAAAAAUUAGCGGAUGACUUGUGGCUGGGGGUGAAAGGCCAAUCAAACCGGGAGAUAGCUGGUUCUCCCCGAAAGCUAUUUAGGUAGCGCCUCGUGAAUUCAUCUCCGGGGGUAGAGCACUGUUUCGGCAAGGGGGUCAUCCCGACUUACCAACCCGAUGCAAACUGCGAAUACCGGAGAAUGUUAUCACGGGAGACACACGGCGGGUGCUAACGUCCGUCGUGAAGAGGGAAACAACCCAGACCGCCAGCUAAGGUCCCAAAGUCAUGGUUAAGUGGGAAACGAUGUGGGAAGGCCCAGACAGCCAGGAUGUUGGCUUAGAAGCAGCCAUCAUUUAAAGAAAGCGUAAUAGCUCACUGGUCGAGUCGGCCUGCGCGGAAGAUGUAACGGGGCUAAACCAUGCACCGAAGCUGCGGCAGCGACGCUGAUGCGUUGUUGGGUAGGGGAGCGUUCUGUAAGCCUGCGAAGGUGUGCUGUGAGGCAUGCUGGAGGUAUCAGAAGUGCGAAUGCUGACAUAAGUAACGAUAAAGCGGGUGAAAAGCCCGCUCGCCGGAAGACCAAGGGUUCCUGUCCAACGUUAAUCGGGGCAGGGUGAGUCGACCCCUAAGGCGAGGCCGAAAGGCGUAGUCGAUGGGAAACAGGUUAAUAUUCCUGUACUUGGUGUUACUGCGAAGGGGGGACGGAGAAGGCUAUGUUGGCCGGGCGACGGUUGUCCCGGUUUAAGCGUGUAGGCUGGUUUUCCAGGCAAAUCCGGAAAAUCAAGGCUGAGGCGUGAUGACGAGGCACUGCGGUGCUGAAGCAACAAAUGCCCUGCUUCCAGGAAAAGCCUCUAAGCAUCAGGUAACAUCAAAUCGUACCCCAAACCGACACAGGUGGUCAGGUAGAGAAUACCAAGGCGCUUGAGAGAACUCGGGUGAAGGAACUAGGCAAAAUGGUGCCGUAACUUCGGGAGAAGGCACGCUGAUAUGUAGGUGAAGUCCCUCGCGGAUGGAGCUGAAAUCAGUCGAAGAUACCAGCUGGCUGCAACUGUUUAUUAAAAACACAGCACUGUGCAAACACGAAAGUGGACGUAUACGGUGUGACGCCUGCCCGGUGCCGGAAGGUUAAUUGAUGGGGUUAGCGCAAGCGAAGCUCUUGAUCGAAGCCCCGGUAAACGGCGGCCGUAACUAUAACGGUCCUAAGGUAGCGAAAUUCCUUGUCGGGUAAGUUCCGACCUGCACGAAUGGCGUAAUGAUGGCCAGGCUGUCUCCACCCGAGACUCAGUGAAAUUGAACUCGCUGUGAAGAUGCAGUGUACCCGCGGCAAGACGGAAAGACCCCGUGAACCUUUACUAUAGCUUGACACUGAACAUUGAGCCUUGAUGUGUAGGAUAGGUGGGAGGCUU
rnacentral:rRNA from 1 species